rnacentral:rRNA from 1 species
AUUGAACGCUGGCGGCAUGCCUUACACAUGCAAGUCGAACGGUAACAGGUCUUCGGAUGCUGACGAGUGGCGAACGGGUGAGUAAUACAUCGGAACGUGCCCGAUCGUGGGGGAUAACGGAGCGAAAGCUUUGCUAAUACCGCAUAAGAUCUACGGAUGAAAGCAGGGGACCGCAAGGCCUUGCGCGAACGGAGCGGCCGAUGGCAGAUUAGGUAGUUGGUGGGAUAAAAGCUUACCAAGCCGACGGUCUGUAGCUGGUCUGAGAGGACGACCAGCCACACUGGGACUGAGACACGGCCCAGACUCCUACGGGAGGCAGCAGUGGGGAAUUUUGGACAAUGGGCGCAAGCCUGAUCCAGCCAUGCCGCGUGCAGGAUGAAGGCCUUCGGGUUGUAAACUGCUUUUGUACGGAACGAAAAGACUCUUUCUAAUAAAGAGGGUCCAUGACGGUACCGUAAGAAUAAGCACCGGCUAACUACGUGCCAGCCGCCGCGGUAA